rnacentral:siRNA from 1 species
AGAGUAGGUGAAAUCGAAAUGAGG